UGCUAAGUCCUUGAGAUUCCCUGCAUGAGC
rnacentral:piRNA from 1 species